rnacentral:lncRNA from 1 species
AUCAGAACCGAAAUUAAUCAUUGAAAAAGAUAGAAAAACUGUAACUUAACCCCAAUGGCUUUAUUUUUAAGGAAUAGCAUCGCUCCCUUCACUUAGUACAAACAAGAAAUCAAGACACGAACAUUCAGUUGUUCAAAACCAGCAUUUGUUGCACAUUACAUUAACCGAAAUUAAUCAUGGAAAAAGAUAGAAAAACUGAAACUUAACCCCAAUGGCUUUGUUUUUAAGGAAUAGCAGCGCUCCCUUCACGUAGCACAAACAAGAAAUCAAGACACGAACAUUCAGUGGUUCAAAACCAGCAUUUAUUGCACAUUACAUUACUUAUUCCCAUGAUAUAACCCGGCCGAAGUUAUCACUCCUGACCAUUUAGUAGAGAAAGUGGUCUAUCACC